rnacentral:rRNA from 1 species
UGCUAGUCGAGCGUCUCCAAGCUAUGGAAGAGACGCGGCACACAGCUCAGUAACACGUGGCUAACCUGCCCUUGGGACAAGGACAACUCCGGGAAACUGGAGCUAAUCCCUGAUAAGUGAGAACUCCUGGAAUGGAUUCUCGCUCAAAGGACGUUUAGACCAUGCUUCUAAGCGCCGCCCAAGGAAGGGGCCGCGACCGAUCAGGUUGUUGGUGAGGUAACGGCUCACCAAGCCUUUAACCGGUACGGGCCGUGAGAGCGGAAGCCCGGAGAUGGGCACUGAGACAAGGGCCCAGGCCCUACGGGGCGCAGCAGUCGCGAAAACUCCGCAAUACACGAAAGUGUGACGGGGCCAUCCCGAGUGCCAUCCGCUGAGGAUGGCUUUUCCCCAGUGUAUAAAGCUGGGGGAAUAAGGAGAGGGCAAGCCUGGUGUCAGCCGCCGCGGUAAUACCAGCUCUCCGAGUGGUGGGGAUGUUUAUUGGGCCUAAAGCAUUCGUAGCCUGCUUGGCAAGUCCUCCGUUAAAUCCAACGAUUCAAUCGUUGGGCUGCGGGGGAUACUGUCCAGCUAGGGGGCGGGAGAGGCCGACGGUAUCCCCGGGGUAGGGGUGAAAUCCUAUAAUCCCGGGAGGACCACCAGUGGCGAAGGCUGUCGGCUAGAACGCGCUCGACGGUGAGGGAUGAAAGCUGGGGGAGCGAACCGGAUUAGAUACCCGGGUAGUCCCAGCUGUAAACGAUGCAGGCUAGGUGUUGGCGCGGCUACGUGCCGCUCCAGUGCCGCAGGGAAGCCGUUAAGCCUGCCGCCUGGGAAGUACGGC